AUGGAGGCUGGGGCGGGCGGGGGAGGGGAGCGCAGAGUUAAAGGGGCCGCGCCGCCGGGGGAGGGAGGGAGGGAGAGGAGGGGAGAGGAGGGAGGAGGCACCGGGAGGGAAGGAGGGAGGAAAGAGGGAGGGCAGGGGCACGGCGGCGGCGGGGAGAGGGAGGGGAAGGGGAAGGACGGCAGGGAGGGAGGGAGGGGAGAGGCCUGCGGGAGGAUGGAGGGGGAGGGCGGAGCGCGGGGCACACACACAGAGACACCACACACACACACAGACAAACACACACUCACAGCCCGCCUUACACACACACGGCCCACCUCACACAUGCACACACACAUCUAUACACACACACAGCCCGCCCGGCCUCACACAGCCCGCCUCAGGCGGGCACACGCACACCCAGCCCGCCUCACACGCACACAGACCACCUGUGUGCACACCCGGCCCUCACACGGACACAUACACUACUUGUGUGCACACCCAGCCCUCACACACACACAUAUAUAUAACCUGUGUGCACGCUCAGCCCUCACACACAUACACACAACCUGUACGCACACCCAGCCCUCCUCACACACACGUAUAGGACCUGAGCUCACACCCAGCCCUCACACACACAAAACAUCUGUGUGCACACCCAGCCCUCACAUGGGCACACGUAUACCACUUGUGAGCACAGCCAGUCCCCUUCACACGCACAUAUAUCACCUGUGUGCACACCCAGCUCUCACACACACACACACACUGCCUGUGCUCACACCCAGCCCUCACACGCACACAUAUACCAUCUGUGUGCACACCCACCCCUCACACACACAUAUAUCACUUGUGCUUACACCCAGCCCUCUUCACACUCACAUGUAUCACCUGUGCUCACACAGCCCUCACACACACACACACCGCCUGUGCUCACACACAAUCCUCACCCACACACCCACCACCAGUGCUCACACCCAGCCAAAACCACCAGGCCUUUCGCUCCCCGUGAGGGUGACGAGGCUGACGUCCCACAUGCCAGGCCCAGGCCAGGCAGCGAGCCCCGACCCGGCGCUGUGGAAGCGCCUGGUGCUGAGCACGGUCCCAGCCCCAGGCCCUACCGUGCUCAGGCAGGGCCCACAGGUGGCACGGUCAUAUUCAACAUAG
rnacentral:lncRNA from 1 species